GUAAGCAGUGUUUGAACUCGAUC
rnacentral:piRNA from 1 species